AUAGCGUAUAUUAAAGUUGUUGCAGUUAAAAAGCUCGUAGUUGAAUUUUGGACCUGGCUGGGCGGUCUUGCCGCAAGGCAAGCACUGCUCUGGUCGGGUCUUUCCUUCUGGGGAACCUGUGUGCGCUUAAUUGAGUGCGCAGGGGAUCCAGGACUUUUACUUUGAAAAAAUUAGAGUGUUUAAAGCAGGCGUACGCUUGAAUACAUUAGCAUGGAAUAAUAGAAUAGGAUUUUGGUUCUAUUUUGUUGGUUUCUAGGACCGAAGUAAUGAUUAAUAGGGACAGUUGGGGGCAUUAGUAUUUAAUUGUCAGAGGUGAAAUUCUUGGAUUUAUGAAAGACUAACUUCUG
rnacentral:rRNA from 1 species